UACGUAGGGGGCAAGCGUUGUCCGGAAUCAUUGGGCGUAAAGAGCGUGUAGGCGGAUUGCUAAGUCAGGGGUGAAAUCCUGGAGCUCAACUCCAGAACUGCCUUUGAUACUGGCGAUCUUGAGUCCGGGAGAGGUGAGUGGAACUGCGAGUGUAGAGGUGAAAUUCGUAGAUAUUCGCAAGAACACCAGUGGCGAAGGCGGCUCACUGGCCCGGUACUGACGCUGAGGUGCGAAAGCGUGGGGAGCAAACAGG
rnacentral:rRNA from 1 species